rnacentral:rRNA from 1 species
UACAGAGGUCUCAAGCGUUGUUCGGAUUCAUUGGGCGUAAAGGGCGCGUAGGCGGCUCAUGAAGGCUGUGGUGAAAGUCCGGGGCUCAACCUCGGAUCGGCCGUGGCGACUCGUGGGCUGGAGCACUGUAGAGGCGGGUGGAAUUCCGGGUGUAGCGGUGGAAUGCGCAGAUAUCAGGAGGAACACCAAUAGCGAAGGCAGCUCGCUGGGACGUUACUGACACUGAGGCGCGAAAGCGUGGGGAGCGAACAGG